UACGAAGGGGCUAGCGUUGCUCGGAAUACUGGGCGUAAAGCGUGCGCAGGCGGCUUUGCAAGACAGAUGUGAAAUCCCCGGGCUUAACCUGGGAACUGCAUUUGUGACUGCAUGGCUAGAGUGCGGCAGAGGGGAUGGAAUUCCGCGUGUAGCAGUGAAAUGCGUAGAUAUGCGGAGGAACACCGAUGGCGAAGGCAAUCCCUGGGCCUGCACUGACGCUCAUGCACGAAAGCGUGGGAGCAAACAGG
rnacentral:rRNA from 1 species